AAGAUUAAGCCAUGCAUGUCUAAGUAUAAGCAAUUAUACGGCGAAACUGCGAAUGGCUCAUUAAAUCAGUUAUCGUUUAUUUGAUAGUACCUUACUACUUGGAUAACCGUGGUAAUUCUAGAGCUAAUACAUGCUAAAAACCCCGACUUCGGGAGGGGUGUAUUUAUUAGAUUAAAAACCGACGCCCUCCGGGGCUCACCGGUGAUUCAUAAUAACUUCUCGGAUCGCACGGCCUUGUGCCGGCGACGGUUCAUUCAAAUUUCUGCCCUAUCAACUUUCGACGGCUGGGUAUUGGCCAGCCGUGGUGACAACGGGUAACGGAGGGUUAGGGCUCGACCCCGGAGAAAACGCCUGAGAAACGGCGUUUACAUCCAAGGAAGGCAGCAGGCGCGCAAAUUACCCAAUGCCGACUCGGCGAGGUAGUGACGAUAAAUACUGGUACGGGGCUCUUUCGGGUCUCGUAACUGGAAUGAGUACAAUUUAAAUCCCUUAACGAGGAACAAUUGGAGGGCAAGUCUGGUGCCAGCAGCCGCGGUAAUUCCAGCUCCAAUAGCGUAUAUUAACAUUGCUGAGGUUAAAAAGCUCGUAGUUGAACCUUGGGCCUGGCUGGCCGGUCCGCCUCACCGCGUGCACUGGUCCGGCCGGGCCUUUCCCUCCGGGGAUCCCCAUGCCCUUCACUGGGCGUGGCGGGGAACCGGGACUUUUACUUUGAAAAAAUUAGAGUGUUCAAAGCAGGCCUAUGCUCGAAUACAUUAGCAUGGAAUAAUAGAAUAGGACGUGCGGUUCUAUUUUGUUGGUUUCUAGGACCGCCGUAAUGAUUAAUAGGGACAGUCGGGGGCGUCAGUAUUCAAUUGUCAGAGGUGAAAUUCUUGGAUUUAUUGAAGACUAACUACUGCGAAAGCAUUCGCCAAGGAUGUUUUCAUUAAUCAGGAACGAAAGUUAGGGGAUCGAAGACGAUCAGAUACCGUCGUAGUCUUAACCGUAAACUAUGCCUGUUAGGGAUCGGACGG
rnacentral:rRNA from 1 species